rnacentral:rRNA from 1 species
UACGUAGGUGGCAAGCGUUGUCCGGAUUUACUGGGCGUAAAGGGAGCGUAGGCGGACUUUUAAGUGAGAUGUGAAAUACCCGGGCUCAACUUGGGUGCUGCAUUUCAAACUGGAAGUCUAGAGUGCAGGAGAGGAGAAUGGAAUUCCUAGUGUAGCGGUGAAAUGCGUAGAGAUUAGGAAGAACACCAGUGGCGAAGGCGAUUCUCUGGACUGUAACCGACGCUGAGGCUCGAAAGCGUGGGGAGCAAACAGGAUUAGAUACCCUGGUA